GGGGGCGUAGUUCAGUUGGUUAGAACGUCUGCCUGUCACGCAGAAGGUCACGAGUUCGAGUCCCGUCGCUCCCGCCA
rnacentral:tRNA from 1 species